AAAGUUUUUAAAUACUUUGACUGUGUUUGUAUAUCAUAUUGCAUACAUAUACUUUAUCUUUAAAAUUCUUAUACUUAUUCAUAGGUGCGGAAAAGAGCGAUGGCAGACCCUGAAGUUCAACAGAUUCUGAAAGACCCUGCCAUGCGCAUGAUUCUCGAACAAAUGCAGAGCGACCCAAGAGCACUACAAGACCACCUGAAGAAUCCUGAUGUUGCAGCCAAGAUUCAGAAGCUUUUGCAAUCAGGUCUCAUUUCUAUUAGGUAAACAUGUUCCAGCAUUUUUUGCAUCUCUUAUCAACCGAGAGUAUGUCACUGACAACUAUGUUUUUUAUUUUCAUUUGAUUAUUUUUAUUAUUAUUAUUAUUAUUAUUAUUAUUAUUAUACCUUUAUUUGUUUUUGUUUUUAGAUAUUUUCUGUUAUUUUAUAUUAAUCCUUAUUUUUGUCGGUACUUCCUUUAAUAGCAGAUGUCAUGUCACUGCAUUUCGUUCAAGCAGGAAAGGCAUUGAUUGAGUUUCAGAAAUGGAAAAUUGUUCUUCAAAGUUGAGGCCGAUUUUUUAAUUUUUUUUUUUUUUUAAGGAAAUUAGAUUUAGAUAGAAUUAAAGGCAGUGUUGAUGUUGCUCCCAUUUUAUUUUUAUUCAUCUAAAUAAAUGUCUAUUUCUGAUGAAUAAACUUCAAAGAUUUGAAUAAUCCAAUUUUUAAUUAAACUUGAACUACAUUAAUUUGUUUUGUUUGAUUAAUGCCUCUUUAUGUUUGAGGUAGCCGAUGUCUGAACCUACUGGUAUAGUAGGAAACCAACCAGGAUUUCCUUUGUUAAUACCUCUAACCAAGAUGUAUGUAUGUAUUGUGUCAGUGGAUGUAUCUUAUAUGUGUUGUAAGGGGUUUUUGACAGUCUCCUGAACAAGGCAUUAGUUAUGAUAGGGUAAGAAUGGUAGAUCUUGGCAACUCAGAUCUUCAACAUUGUAUUCUCAUGUCCUAAAAAAGGGAAACGAUUGUUUGGAAGCCUCAACAAAGCUUUCAGCAAAUGAACACAAGAAUAAUGCUUUUUAUACUUAAGUGCAGUCUAGUGCUUUGGUUCCUUUUAAGUCACUAAUGCUUGAUUUUGAUAAAGUGACAAGAAAGUGAAUGGCUUGACUAUUGAUUUGAAGUCCUGAUCAUUUCUCUCGCAAGCCUGGAAACUUUCACUCUCUUGUUCGGGUAAAUUUACUUGUAAAGCUCAAUAUAAUGUCUAUCAGAAGAGGAAACCUUGACUAAAAUCUCCAUAUCCUUGUUCCUUCAAACUGUCUUAGGUAUUCAAGAUUUUGUCAGAUAGAAAGAUGGAAAUACUUUUGAUCAUUUCAAGAAAUAGCUAGUAAAUACAGUUGUUAACUAUUUCAUGAAUGCAAUUCAGACUGAUACAAAAAUCAGGAAAUCAGCUGUUGGACCAGGAUGGAAAAGGACACUUUAAAAAGAGAAAUAAUACUUAGAGGUCUAGAAUGUCCAGUCAGGUGCUCAGUAGCCGACUGUACUUGGGUUACAUUUAGUGUUAGGAUCCCAGUUGUAUGUGCUGGCCCUAUGUCAUUUGGUGUUGGAAGACAAUACCACUUCUCAUGUCUUUGAAUCUGGAUCCCAGUAAUUAUAUGAUAACUGAUAUUCUGUGAUCCUCGAAUACAAUAUUUUUUUUAUUCACUUUGAACUUGUAAGAUACGUUCUGUGAAAUACAAAGGAUUGUUAAUAUUCAUAAGUACAAUGCAUUUCUAUCAACCACUCACCAUCAUAAUUCACAGCUGAGGUCAGGUGUACCAGCAUACCUUGUACAGUGUUCAUGUUCUGGUAACAUUAAAGAGCAUCAUAGAUGAUAUAAUGAUUAAUAUUAAAGAAAGGAGAACCUAAAAAAAAAAGCUGGCAUCUCUCAUAAUUUCAUUUUUAAACAUUUGAUUUCACUUUGUUUUUUCCUAUGUUAGGAAGAAGUAUGCUAUGUGAUUCCUCAUAGGCAUUUCUUGUGUGAUAUUUAUAUGAGAGUAAAUAUGAGCCUGAA